GACGAACGCUGGCGGCGUGCCUAAUACAUGCAAGUAGAACGCUGAAGACUUUAGCUUGCUAAAGUUGGAAGAGUUGCGAACGGGUGAGUAACGCGUAGGUAACCUGCCUACUAGCGGGGGAUAACUAUUGGAAACGAUAGCUAAUACCGCAUAACAGCAUUUAACCCAUGUUAGAUGCUUGAAAGGAGCAAUUGCUUCACUAGUAGAUGGACCUGCGUUGUAUUAGCUAGUUGGUAAGGUAACGGCUCACCAAGGCGACGAUACAUAGCCGACCUGAGAGGGUGAUCGGCCACACUGGGACUGAGACACGGCCCAGACUCCUACGGGAGGCAGCAGUAGGGAAUCUUCGGCAAUGGGGGCAACCCUGACCGAGCAACGCCGCGUGAGUGAAGAAGGUUUUCGGAUCGUAAAGCUCUGUUGUAAGAGAAGAACGUGUGUGAGAGUGGAAAGUUCACACAGUGACGGUAACUUACCAGAAAGGGACGGCUAACUACGUGCCAGCCGCCGCAGUAAGAC
rnacentral:rRNA from 1 species